CAAAGGACUUAGCUAUAUCAUGGCCACUGAGAGAUGACACACAGAUCUUUGGUAAUCUGAUGGCUACAAGUGCUA
ensembl:miRNA Mir2424 microRNA mir-2424